rnacentral:rRNA from 1 species
CACAUGCAGUCGAACGAGAGAAGAGAAGCUUGCUUUUCUGAUCUAGUGGCGGACGGGUGAGUAACACGUGAGCAAUCUGCCUUUCAGAGGGGGAUACCGAUUGGAAACGAUCGUUAAUACCGCAUAAUAUAAUUGAACCGCAUGAUUUGAUUAUCAAAGAUUUAUCGCUGAAAGAUGAGCUCGCGUCUGAUUAGCUAGUUGGUAAGGUAACGGCUUACCAAGGCGACGAUCAGUAGCCGGACUGAGAGGUUGAUCGGCCACAUUGGGACUGAGACACGGCCCAGACUCCUACGGGAGGCAGCAGUGGGGAAUAUUGCACAAUGGAGGAAACUCUGAUGCAGCGAUGCCGCGUGAGGGAAGAAGGUUUUAGGAUUGUAAACCUCUGUCUUCAGGGACGAAAAAAGACGGUACCUGAGGAGGAAGCUCCGGCUAACUACGUGCCAGCAGCCGCGGUAAUACGUAGGGAGCGAGCGUUGUCCGGAAUUACUGGGUGUAAAGGGAGCGUAGGCGGGAUCGCAAGUCAGAUGUGAAAACUAUGGGCUUAACCCAUAAACUGCAUUUGAAACUGUGGUUCUUGAGUGAAGUAGAGGUAAGCGGAAUUCCUAGUGUAGCGGUGAAAUGCGUAGAUAUUAGGAGGAACAUCAGUGGCGAAGGCGGCUUACUGGGCUUUAACUGACGCUGAGGCUCGAAAGCGUGGGGAGCAAACAGGAUUAGAUACCCUGGUAGUCCACGCCGUAGACGAUGAUUACUAGGUGUGGGGGGACUGACCCCUUCCGUGCCGCAGCAAACGCAAUAAGUAAUCCACCUGGGGAGUACGACCGCAAGGUUGAAACUCAGAGGAAUUGACGGGGGCCCGCACAAGCAGUGGAGUAUGUGGAUUAAUUCGAAGCAACGCGAAGAA